rnacentral:rRNA from 1 species
GACGAACGCUGGCGGCGUGCUUAACACAUGCAAGUCGAACGGCAAGGCCCUGCUUUUGUGGGGUGCUCGAGUGGCGAACGGGUGAGUAACACGUGAGUAACCUGCCCUUGACUUUGGGAUAACUUCAGGAAACUGGGGCUAAUACCGGAUAGGAGCCCCUGUUGCAUGGUGGGGGUUGGAAAGUUUCGGCGGUUGGGGAUGGACUCGCGGCUUAUCAGCUUGUUGGUGGGGUAGUGGCUUACCAAGGCUUUGACGGGUCGCCGGCCUGAGAGGGUGAACGGCCACAUUGGGACUGAGAUACGGCCCAGACUCCUACGGUAGGCAGUAGUGGGGAAUAUUGCACAAUGGGAGGAAGCCUGAUGCAGCAACGCCGCGUGCGGGAUGACGGCCUGCGGGUUGUAAACCGCUUUCGCCUGUGACGAAGCGUGAGUGACGGUAAUGGGUAAAGAAGCACCGGCUAACUACGUG